UGAGUUGGCAGUUCCUUCUGUCCAGCAUCACAUUCAACGGUGCCGUAAGAUUUGGAGGGACACUCGCUCAGAACUCCUCCGGACUUCUACCAGGAAUCAACGGUCAGCUAACCGUCACAGACAUGCCGCUCCCCAUUACACCCCUGGACAAUCAGUUUGGUUGUCUUCCAAAAAUAUCUCACUCCUCACCGAGUCAAAGAAACUGUCCCCUCGGUUCCUUGGGCCUUUCCUCAUUGAGCGCAUUAUUAACCCCUCUGCUGUCCGCUUGAGACUCCCCAGAUCCAUGAAGGUUCAUCCAACCUUUCAUGUUUCCCAGAUCAAGCCAGUCCACACUAGUGACCUGUGCCCUCCAACCAUUCCCCCUCCUCCCCCCCGAGUCAUCGAUGAUCAUCCUGCCUACACCGUGCGUCGGCUUAUGGAUGUCAGACGCCGGGGCAGGGGCUUUCAGUACUUGGUUGAUUGGGAGGGUUACAACCUGGAGGAACGUUGCUGGGUGCCUCGGUCACGCAUCAUGGACCCUGUCAUGGUGAGGGAGUUCCACAGAGCACACCCUGACAAGCCUGGUGGUCGCCAGGAGGCUCCCGUGGAGAGGGGGGUACUGUGAGGAUUUACAGUAUCUCCCUCCUUCUUCUCUUCUUUGUUUUAUGUUUGUUAUGUUCGUUCUGUCUGUCUGUGUGUCUGUCUCCCUGGCUGGGUGUGGCUGACCCACUUCUGAUUCCCGCCAACUCACCUCCGCAGCUGCUGCUCAUCAUCCUGAUUACACUACUCACCUUCACCUGCUUAUAUGCCCGGUCCUCUCAUCCAGUAUUCACCAGUUCGUCGUUUCACCUCGCUGAAUCCAUCUGCCUACUCCUCUGCCUGCCACAUCCAGCCACGUACCUCUCGUCUGAGUAUCUCCGUGCUUCCACGCACACCGGCUCCAACCUGUCAACUAUCGCCAGCUCUGGAUCAGCGGCUUUCCUCGCCAGUGUACCUUCGUGCUUCCACGCACACCAGCUCCUUCCUGUCGACUCUCACCAGCUCUGGUCCCCCGGCUCUCCUCGCCAGAGUAUCUCCGUGCAUAUCCGCACCACCUCAGUUAACAAACCCUGGCUUUGGGUUUAUUGGAUAUUUAAUCCCUCGUCUGACUCUAUAUAAGGUUUUUGGUUAAUAAACCUUUUUCUACCUCAAAA